rnacentral:rRNA from 1 species
CUGUACAGUUCAGAGUUUGAUCCUGGCUCAGAUUGAACGCUAGCGGGAUGCCUUACACAUGCAAGUCGAACGGCAGCACGGACUUCGGUCUGGUGGCGAGUGGCGAACGGGUGAGUAAUGUAUCGGAACGUGCCUAGUAGCGGGGGAUAACUACGCGAAAGCGUAGCUAAUACCGCAUACGCCCUACGGGGGAAAGCAGGGGAUCGCAAGACCUUGCACUAUUAGAGCGGCCGAUAUCGGAUUAGCUAGUUGGUGGGGUAACGGCUCACCAAGGCGACGAUCCGUAGCUGGUUUGAGAGGACGACCAGCCACACUGGGACUGAGACACGGCCCAG